rnacentral:rRNA from 1 species
GGAGUUAGCCGGUGCUUCUUAUGUGAGUGAUGUCCUUCCUGCCGGCUAUUAACCCGCAGGCCUUCUUCCUCACUGAAAGUGCUUUACAACCCGAAGGCCUUCUUCACACACGCGGCAUGGCUGGAUCAGGGUUGCCCCCAUUGUCCAAUAUUCCCCACUGCUGCCUCCCGUAGGAGUCUGGGCCGUGUCUCAGUCCCAGUGUGGCUGAUCAUCCUCUCAGACCAGCUACGGAUCGUCGCCUUGGUGAGCCGUUACCUCACCAACCAGCUAAUCCGACAUAGGCUCAUCCGAUAGCGCGAGGCCCGAAGGUCCCCCGCUUUCCCCCGUAGGGCGUAUGCGGUAUUAGCCUGGGUUUCCCCAGGUUAUCCCCCACUACCGGGCAGAUUCCUAUGCAUUACUCACCCGUCCGCCGCUCGCCACCAGGGAGCAAGCUCCCCGUGCUGCCGCUCGACUUGCAUGUGUUAGGCCUGCCGCCAGCGUUCAAUCUGAGCCAGGAUCAAACUCUGA